AGGGGCGUAGCUCAAUUGGCCAGAGCAGCGGUUUCCAAAACCGCAGGUUGGGGGUUCGAGUCCCUUCGCCCCUG
rnacentral:tRNA from 1 species